AACGCGAAGAACCUUACCAGGUCUUGACAUCCCGGCGACGUACCCGUAACGGGGUAUUCUCUACGGAGCGCCGGAGACAGGUGGUGCAUGGUUGUCGUCAGCUCGUGUCGUGAGAUGUUGGGUUAAGUCCCGCAACGAGCGCAACCCUUAUGGUUAGUAGCCAGCAGGUAAAGCUGGGAACUCUAACGAGACUGCCGGGGAUAACCCGGAGGAAGGCGGGGAUGACGUCAAAUCAUCAUGCCCCUUAUGAUCUGGGCUACACACGUGCUACAAUGGCGUAAACAGAGGGAAGCGAAGGAGUGAUCCGGAGCGAAUCCCAAAAAUAACGUCUCAGUUCGGAUUGUAGUCUGCAACCCGACUACAUGAAGCUGGAAUCGCUAGUAAUCGCGAAUCAGAAUGUCGCGGUGAAUACGUUCCCGGGUCUUGUACACACCG
rnacentral:rRNA from 1 species